rnacentral:tRNA from 1 species
AUUUUCAUAGUUUAAAAAAAAACAAAUGUCUUUCAAGCAUUAAAUAAGAGUUUCCUUGAAAAUA